CAGCCGCCGCGGGAAAACGUAGGGGGCAAGCGUUAUCCGGAAUUACUGGGUGUAAAGGGAGCGUAGACGGUUAAACAAGUCUGAAGUGAAAUGCCGGGGCUCAACCCCGGAGCUGCUUUGGGAACUGUAGAACUGGAGUGUCGGAGGGGUAAGCGGAAUUCCCAGUGUAGCGGUGAAAUGCGUAGAUAUUGGGAGGAACACCGGCGGCGAAGGCGGCUUACUGGACGACAACUGACGUUGAGGCUCGAAGGCGUGGGUAGCAAACAGGAUUAGAGACCCCUGUAGUCCCUGUCUCUUAUAC
rnacentral:rRNA from 1 species